rnacentral:rRNA from 1 species
AUUGAACGCUGGCGGCAGGCCUAACACAUGCAAGUCGAACGAGUGGCGGACGGGUGAGUAAUGUCUGGGAAACUGCCUGAUGGAGGGGGAUCACUACUGGAAACGGUAGCUAAUACCGCAUACCAUCGGAUGUGCCCAGGUGGGAUUAGCUAGUAGGUGGGGUAAAGGCUCACCUAGGCGACGAUCCCUAGCUGGUCUGAGAGGAUGACCAGCCACACUGGAAAUGAGACACGGUCCAAACUCCUACGGGAGGCAGCAGUGGGAAAUAUUGCACAAUGGGCGCAAGCCUGAAGCAGACAUGCCGCGUGUGUGAAGAAGGGCUUCGGGUUGUAAAGUACUUUCAGCUGGGAGGCGUUACCCACAGAGGAAGCACCGGCUAACUCCGUGCCAGCAGCCGCGGUAAUUC